rnacentral:rRNA from 1 species
UGGGGAAUUUUGCGCAAUGGGGGAAACCCUGACGCAGCAACGCCGCGUGAGUGAUGAAGGCCUUCGGGUCGUAAAGCUCUGUCAGAGGGGAAGAAAUGCAGGGGUGCUAAUAUCAUCUUUGCUUGACGGUACCCUCAAAGGAAGCACCGGCUAACUCCGUGCCAGCAGCCGCGGUAAUACGGAGGGUGCGAGCGUUGUUCGGAAUUAUUGGGCGUAAAGCGCGUGUAGGCGGUUUGGUAAGUCUGAUGUGAAAGCCCCGGGCUCAACCUGGGAAGUGCAUUGGAAACUGUCAGACUUGAAUACGCGAGAAGGUAGUGGAAUUCCUAGUGUAGGAGUGAAAUCCGUAGAUAUUAGGAGGAACACCGGUGGCGAAGGCGACUACCUGGACCGAUAUUGACGCUGAGACGCG